UGGGGAAUCUUGCGCAAUGGACGAAAGUCUGACGCAGCCACGCCGCGUGAGUGAAGAAGGCCUUCGGGUUGUAAAGCUCUGUCACGAGGGACGAACGGCUAUUGGGUUAACAGCCCAGUGGAUUGACGGUACCUUGGGAGGAAGCACCGGCUAACUCUGUGCCAGCAGCCGCGGUAAUACAGAGGGUGCAAGCGUUGCUCGGAAUCAUUGGGCGUAAAGGGUAGGUAGGUGGUCUCAUUUGUCUGGGGUGAAAUCCCUGAGCUUAACUCAGGAACUGCCCCAGAAACGGUGAGACUCGAGUACUGGAGAGGGUCGUGGAAUUCCCGGUGUAGCGGUGAAAUGCGUAGAGAUCGGGAGGAACACCAGAGGCGAAGGCGGCGACCUGGACAGUAACUGACACUCAACUACGAAAGCGUGGGGAGCAAACAGG
rnacentral:rRNA from 1 species